rnacentral:rRNA from 1 species
UCGUGUCGUGAGAUGUUGGGUUAAGUCCCGCAACGAGCGCAACCCUUAUUGUUAGUUGCUACCAUUUAGUUGAGCACUCUAGCGAGACUGCCCGGGUUAACCGGGAGGAAGGUGGGGAUGACGUCAAAUCAUCAUGCCCCUUAUGUCUAGGGCUACACACGUGCUACAAUGGCUGGUACAGAGAGAUGCUAAACCGCGAGGUGGAGCCAAACUUUAAAACCAGUCUCAGUUCGGAUUGUAGGCUGAAACUCGCCUACAUGAAGCUGGAGUUGCUAGUAAUCGCGAAUCAGAAUGUCGCGGUGAAUACGUUCCCGGGCCUUGUACACACCGCCCGUCACACCAUGAGAGUUGGCAAUACCCAAAGUUCGUGAGCUAACCCGUAAGGGAGGCAGCGACCUAAGGUAGGGUCAGCGAUUGGGGUGAAGUCGUAACAAGGUAGCCGUAGGAGAACCUGCGGCUGGAUCACCUC